AUUGAACGCUGGCGGCAGGCCUAACACAUGCAAGUCGAGCGGAUGAAGGGAGCUUGCUCCUGGAUUCAGCGGCGGACGGGUGAGUAAUGCCUAGGAAUCUGCCUGGUAGUGGGGGAUAACGUCCGGAAACGGGCGCUAAUACCGCAUACGUCCUGAGGGAGAAAGUGGGGGAUCUUCGGACCUCACGCUAUAAGUUGAGCCUAGGCCGGAUUAGCUAGUUGGUGGGGUAAAGGCCUACCAAGGCGACGAUCCGUAACUGGUCUGAGAGGAUGAUCAGUCACACUGGAACUGAGACACGGUCCAGACUCCUACGGGAGGCAGCAGUGGGGAAUAUUGGACAAUGGGCGAAAGCCUGAUCCAGCCAUGCCGCGUGUGUGAAGAAGGUCUUCGGAUUGUAAAGCACUUUAAGUUGGGAGGAAGGGCAGUAAGUUAAUACCUUGCUGUUUUGACGUUACCAACAGAAUAAGCACCGGCUAACUUCGUG
rnacentral:rRNA from 1 species